rfam:Felis catus isolate Cinnamon breed Abyssinian chromosome D2, whole genome shotgun sequence.
GCCUGGGUGGCUCAGUCGGUUGAGCAUCCGACUUCAGCUCAGGUCACGAUCUCGCGGUCCGUGAGUUCAAGCCCCGCGUCAGGCU